rnacentral:rRNA from 1 species
GACGAACGCUGGCGGCGUGCUUGACACAUGCAAGUCGAGCGGUAAGGCUCCUCCGGGAGUACACGAGCGGCGAACGGGUGAGUAACACGUGAGCAACCUGCCCUUCUCAUCGGAAUAAGCGUUGGAAACGACGUCUAAUGCCGAAUAUGACAACGGAUCGCAUGAUCUGUUGUGGAAAGCUCCGGCGGAGAAGGAUGGGCUCGCGGCCUAUCAGCUUGUUGGUGGGGUAACGGCCCACCAAGGCGACGACGGGUAGCCGGCCUGAGAGGGUGACCGGCCACACUGGGACUGAGACACGGCCCAGACUCCUACGGGAGGCAGCAGUGGGGAAUAUUGGACAAUGGGCGCAAGCCUGAUCCAGCAACGCCGCGUGAGGGAUGACGGCCUUCGGGUUGUAAACCUCUUUCAGCAGGGACGAAGCGAAAGUGACGGUACCUGCAGAAGAAGGACCGGCCAACUACGUGCCAGCAGCCGCCGUAACAC